GGAGAGCUCUCUGCUGGAUUUCCUUGAAGCUCCAUCUUUGAUUUGGUUUUAGGGAAAGGGAGAUGGGCCAUUCCUCAUUGAGGGGCAUCAGGGGAACCGACGUACAGCACACCAACCACUGUCCCUAGAGGACCUUGGGACCAGCCUUGCGUGAGCCUCUUUCUAAAGGUCUAGAGAUGGUGGCCUGAUGCUGACAGGGUUUCACUCACAACCUCCCAGUGCUGUUGAUAGUCUCCUACAUGAAUAUACAUGGGGACACACCUGACACCCCCAGCUUUAGAGGCCUCAACUCAAUAAAACUGAGAGACCUCAGGAGGACUCACAUUCAGCAUCUUAUCCUGCAGAAGGAAAUUUUGUCUUCCCUGAGGGAUGGAGAGGACUUAGACCUGAAGCACACUGUUCUGCUAUUUGGUGAUUCAAUGACACUGAAAAACAUACCUUCUCCCCAUCACCACUAAGCAGCCCUGGACAGCUGGCUCCACUCUAGUUCUCCAACUCACCUGAUGAGAACAUUGCUGUGUCCUUUUGUAUCAAGAGCAGUUUGGGGAGCAAGUUCUUUUGCCUGAUUCUGUGAGUUGCCCAAUCCAACCAAACCUAGCUACCCACCUUCAGAAAGGGGCUGUUUUUCUCCACAACCCAAGGUCCCCUUUUUUAUUUGUUAUAAUUAGUUAUACUUGAC
rnacentral:lncRNA from 1 species